GCGAACGCUGGCGGCAGGCCUAAUACAUGCAAGUCGAGCGGUCCCUUCGGGGGCAGCGGCGGACGGGUGAGUAACGCGUGGGAACGUGCCCUUUGGUACGGAACAACUGAGGGAAACUUCAGCUAAUACCGUAUGUGCCCUUCGGGGGAAAGAUUUAUCGCCAUUGGAGCGGCCCGCGUUAGAUUAGCUAGUUGGUAGGGUAAUGGCCUACCAAGGCGACGAUCUAUAGCUGGUCUGAGAGGAUGAUCAGCCACACUGGGACUGAGACACGGCCCAGACUCCUACGGGAGGCAGCAGUAGGGAAUCUUGCGCAAUGGGCGAAAGCCUGACGCAGCCAUGCCGCGUGAAUGAUGAAGGUCUUAGGAUCGUAAAAUUCUUUCACCGGGGACGAUAAUGACGGUACCCGGAGAAGAAGCCCCGGCUAACUUCGUGCCAGCAGCCGCCGUAA
rnacentral:rRNA from 1 species